rnacentral:rRNA from 1 species
UACGUAGGGGGCGAGCGUUGUCCGAAGUUACUGGGCGUAAAGCGCACGUAGGCGGCCCUGUAAUUUACAUCUGAAAGGUGACAGCUCAACUGUCAAUGGUGGUGUAAGACUGCAGAGCUUGAGGUGAGCAAAAGAAUGUGGAACUCCGAGUGUAGCGGUGGAAUGCGUAGAGAUUCGGAAGAACACCCAUGGCGAAGGCAGCAUUCUGGGCUCAACCGGACGCUGAGGAGCGAAAGCCAGGGGAGCGAACGGG